ACGCUGGCGGCAGGCCUAACACAUGCAAGUCGAGCGGUAGAGAGAAGCUUGCUUCUCUUGAGAGCGGCGGACGGGUGAGUAAUGCCUAGGAAUCUGCCUGGUAGUGGGGGAUAACGUCCGGAAACGGACGCUAAUACCGCAUACGUCCUACGGGAGAAAGCAGGGGACCUUCGGGCCUUGCGCUAUCAGAUGAGCCUAGGUCGGAUUAGCUAGUUGGUGGGGUAAUGGCUCACCAAGGCGACGAUCCGUAACUGGUCUGAGAGGAUGAUCAGUCACUGGAACUGAGACACGGUCCAGACUCCUACGGGAGGCAGCAGUGGGGAAUAUUGGACAAUGGGCGAAAGCCUGAUCCAGCCAUGCCGCGUGUGUGAAGAAGGUCUUCGGAUUGUAAAGCACUUUAAGUUGGGAGGAAGGGCAGUAAAUUAAUACUUUGCUGUUUUGACGUUACCGACAGAAUAAGCACCGGCUAACUCUGUGCCAGCAGCCGCGGUAAUACAGAGGGUGCAAGCGUUAAUCGGAAUUACUGGGCGUAAAGCGCGCGUAGGUGGUUCGUUAAGUUGGAUGUGAAAUCCCCGGGCUCAACCUGGGAACUGCAUUCAAAACUGACGAGCUAGAGUAUGGUAGAGGGUGGUGGAAUUUCCUGUGUAGCGGUGAAAUGCGUAGAUAUAGGAAGGAACACCAGUGGCGAAGGCGACCACCUGGACUGAUACUGACACUGAGGUGCGAAAGCGUGGGGAGCAAAC
rnacentral:rRNA from 1 species